AGAGUUUGAUCCUGGCUCAGGACGAACGCUGGCGGCGUGCUUAACACAUGCAAGUCGAACGAAGAGCGAUGGAAGCUUGCUUCUAUCAAUCUUAGUGGCGAACGGGUGAGUAACGCGUAAUCAACCUGCCCAUCAGAGGGGGACAACAGUUGGAAACGACUGCUAAUACCGCAUACGAUCCAAUCCCGGCAUCGGGACUGGAUGAAAGGUGGCCUCUACUUGUAAGCUAUCGCUGAUGGAGGGGAUUGCGUCUGAUUAGCUAGUUGGAGGGGUAACGGCCCACCAAGGCAAUGAUCAGUAGCCGGUCUGAGAGGAUGAACGGCCACAUUGGGACUGAGACACGGCCCAAACUCCUACGGGAGGCAGCAGUGGGGAAUCUUCCGCAAUGGACGAAAGUCUGACGGAGCAACGCCGCGUGAGUGAUGACGGCCUUCGGGUUGUAAAGCUCUGUUAAUCGGGACGAAAGGCCUUCUUGCGAAUAGUUAGAAGGAUUGACGGUACCGGAAUAGAAAGCCACGGCUAACUACGUGCCAGCAGCCGCGGUAAUACGUAGGUGGCAAGCGUUGUCCGGAAUUAUUGGGCGUAAAGCGCGCGCAGGCGGAUCUGCCAGUCUGUCUUAAAAGUUCGGGGCUCAACCCCGUGAUGGGAUGGAAACUACAGAUCUAGAGUAUCGGAGGGGAAAGUGGAAUUCCUAGUGUAGCGGUGAAAUGCGUAGAUAUUAGGAGGAACACCAGUGGCGAAGGCGACUUUCUGGACGAUCACUGACGCUGAGGCGCGAAAGCCAGGGGAGCGAACGGGAUUAGAUACCCCGGUAGUCCUGGCCGUAAACGAUGGGUACUAGGUGUAGGAGGUAUCGACCCCUUCUGUGCCGGAGUUAACGCAAUAAGUACCCCGCCUGGGGAGUACGACCGCAAGGUUGAAACUCAAAGGAAUUGACGGGGGCCCG
rnacentral:rRNA from 1 species